CUAAGAUAUAGGCUCACAUACUCCAACAGCAGCCUGAUGUCACUUUAUUGCCCUGUCCUUGUCCAAGGGGAUGUCCUGCCUUCCCACCCAGCCAGCCUCCUGUCCUAGGCUAUAUUUAGGACUUGGCUACCCAAACCACUGGCCCCUUCUCCAGGGCUGAGGAGAAAGCACAUGAACUACCUUCGGAAACUGAUGGUAGAAACAAAGUGUUCUCCAGGUCCUGUGUGGUUCUGUCCUCUUCGGGAGGUUUUUACCAUCUGAAGCUUCGGGAUUUUAAAAGCCAGGCAAUUAAGGCAUCCUGGGUGGGAAAACUGUUUGCUGACGAUGGCUGGCCUCUAGUGGUGGAUAGCUGUAAGCCAGUUAUCUGGCAUCUGUCCCAACCUUUCUCCACUAAAUGUAAUGUCCCAGUGCUUCUACUCUUUAUGAAACCCGUACCUCUAAACCUUCC
rnacentral:lncRNA from 1 species